rnacentral:ncRNA from 2 species
AAGAGGGAACCCGGUGCGAAUCCGGGACUGCCCCGCAGCGGUGAGCGGGAACGACCGCCGUCAUACGCACUGGACCGCCGGUCCGGGAAGCGACGGCCAUUAGGUGUCCGCCGGUACGAGUCCGGCGGGUGUGCCCGCGAGUCCGAAGACCU